UGCAUAUUUACAGGAACGUGGAAUUAAAUCCUUUAAAUUUGAGCAAUAUUACAAGGGAUGUAAUCAACUCGGCUCGUUAGUAGAGUCUUGCGUGAAACUAACCAAGCGCUUAUUAUUUGGAGCAAUACGCAAUAAUGUUCUUCCCCUUCGGGAUUUUGAUUUUAUUGUUCACAAAACUAUACAUUUGGUGAACAGAAGGCCAAUUUCAUUUAAAGAGUCUCUUAGGGACUCUUCAGGAGAGAGCAUUCCAGAAAUCAUUACCCCGGAGAUGUUGAUUCAUGGCAGAGAAUUGGUUUCCAUCAAUAUAAUCCCUCAACUACAAGGCCCAACAGAUCCCGAUCCGGAAUUCAAUGCAGAUCAGAUUCCUUCAUCAUUACUGAAACUACAAAAUGUACGACAUAAUCUCAUUAAAAUAUACAAUGAAGAAUUUAUUGGGAAUCUUAUAUAUCAAGCCGUGAAUAAAAAAGACCGAUACAAGCCCGUUCAACAUAAAGAACUUAAAGUUGGAGAUAUAGUACUUUUGAAGGAACCCUUAGCUAAACCCUGUAAUUAUCCAAUGGGACGCAUUAAGGAAAUUAUAACAAAUAUAAACAAUGAAGUUACGGCUGUGAAAGUCUUUAAAGGGAAAACUGGAGAAAUAUUAAAACGGCACUCUAGUUCUAUAAUUCCUCUUUUGUCAGUCCCAGGCGAUGAUGAGAAGCAAGGUGUACCAGACACUAAUAAUGUUCAUAUUGUAUCAUCACGUCCUAAAAGAAAAGCAGCUAUACAGGGUGCUGCCAAAUUCACCAAAUUUUGGCUGAAUCUGAUUAGGGAUUUUUCAUUACUGUUAAUAUUGUUUUAUUUGGAUUCUUUUGAUUGGUUUUUAUUUUUGGGUAAUUUUCAUGUAAAUACAUUUACAUUAUAUACUUUUGAUUUCAUACUAAAUCAAAAUCUCUCCCCUGGAGUGUAGAAAAAUAUGUAUUUAAUUCCUUUAAUUUUACCAGUUAUUAAAAAAAAAUAUGCAUUAUCACUACGGCAUCAGUAUUAAAGUGCUUUACCUAUGUAAUUACUUAACUAGUCAAUUUUAAAAUUAACGUAAUUUUCAUAAAUAGCUUUUCUCGUCUAAUCCUUUUAAAUGGUUAUUGCCGUAAACAAAUCACCAAUUUUAAUGCGGAAAAUGUUUUCUUUGUUUACUGAGUGACGAAGAACCGGCAGUACCUGUCAAGAACUUAACAACAGCAGUCUUCAGCAGAAGUUCCAGUCAUACUUACCGUGGAUUAAACUUUGAAGUGAUUUAGUGACAUAUGGAUCUUAUCAUUUGCAUCACGGUCAUGUGUUACGCAAAUAUGGAAUAAUUCUAUCAAGUUACCAUUGGACCCGGACCUGCCAAAGGGGAACCCGCUUACCUAUCUCCUAAAUCACACUAAAAACAAGAUGUGUUUGUAUACUUUCGGAUUCAUUUCAUUGGCCUCCGGAUGAUGCAGCCCAAGUACUCACUUCCUAUCCUUAUGGUUCACGUCAAGUGUUUGUUUGUCAUUCAGAAGUUUAUUUUUGUGGUUCGAUGAUAUACAUUACAAUUAAAUUCAUUGUAACUUA